rnacentral:rRNA from 1 species
CAGCCGCCGCGGUAAUACAGAGGGUGCGAGCGUUAAUCGGAUUUACUGGGCGUAAAGCGUGCGUAGGCGGCUUCUUAAGUCGGAUGUGAAAUCCCUGAGCUUAACUUAGGAAUUGCAUUCGAUACUGGGAAGCUAGAGUAUGGGAGAGGAUGGUAGAAUUCCAGGUGUAGCGGUGAAAUGCGUAGAGAUCUGGAGGAAUACCGAUGGCGAAGGCAGCCAUCUGGCCUAAUACUGACGCUGAGGUACGAAAGCUAGGGGAGCAAACAGGAUUAGAUACCCCGGUAGUCCCUGUCUCUUAUAC